AUAUUUAUAAUACUUUUUUGUUGUUUUUCAGGAACGUGUUGGCCGUAGGUUAGGGGGUUUGAGAGUUUUAAACUCUUAUUGGGUGGCUCAGGACGCGUCUUAUAAAUAUUUUGAAGUCAUUUUAGUGGACAUCCAUCAUAACGCUAUAAGAAGAGAUCCAAAAAUAAAUUGGCUUUGUAAGCAUGUUCAUAAACAUCGUGAGCUUCGUGGUUUGACCUCAGCUGGCAAAAGUUCUCGUGGAAUUGGCAAGGGCUACCGUUAUUCGCAGACUAUUGGAGGUUCCCGUCGUGCUGCAUGGAAACGCAAAAAUACUUUGCAAAUGCAUCGUAAACGCUAGAGCGAUAUUUUUAGUUUUGAUAUGCUCGCAAAAUAUAAAGAUACGCGUGUUUUCGAAGAAUGUAUUUUUAUUUUUUGUUCGGAGUCUGAUGACCGAAGAUGCUUAAAUGACUUUCCUUCACUGUAUGAACUGAACCUUGUUGGCAAAAAUUAAAAUGUUUGAACGCAGAUUAUGGUUAUGGUUAUGUAGGGGUGGUCUACCGCCCCCUUGCACUUUGUCGUUCCCACGACAGUCAGGUCUACGCAAUCGGAACGACAAAAAUUUUUAUCGCCACUCCAGCAUCGCUCGGCAAAAAUUUGUUGGGGAUUUCCAACAACACUUAAAUCAAAAAAUUUACGAAUUUGAAAAAUUGCUCUCACUCAAUCCGAGUGAAGUCGCCAGCACAAAUUAUUCAGACUAACACCCUUAUUCUAGAACCCGAAUUAUCGUAAUUCGUUAAUUCGUAGCAACGUUACGAAAAACAAAAAAUCGACAUUCCCACGACAGCCGGUUCUACGUACCGGAAUGACUGGGGUUUUACCCGACCAAGGGCUGUUGUUUCGGCGAUCUAACCCCGUUUAGGUCGGCGAAAUACAUCAAACGUUGCUCGAUCCUAGGGCUACACCUCCGCAGC
rnacentral:lncRNA from 1 species